rnacentral:lncRNA from 1 species
UGACCUCCUGUCUUUGAAGGUGGCGUGUACCCUCAUCUUCACUAUAUACCCUGUUUGUCGUGAAUAGAGAAACCACACGUAACCUUAGAUAAGUGAGGAACCUGGGAAACUGGCGCUUGUUCAUUGUCACUCCCAGUGCUUUCAGCAGUUUCUUAAUUCGUGAAAAUUAAUAGUUUCACUGGAGGUGGUAUGAAAUGGCAAUUGGGUUUGCUAAUCUUCUCUGACUUUUGUAAGUCUUUUUUUGUUUUGUUUUGUUUUGUUUUUUUGUAAAAUAAGUUUCCAGACCAGGGAUUGAAUCCAAGGCGCAACUCGGAUCUUUUAACCCACUACUGUAUCUUUUAAUCCACUGCGCCAGGCUGUGGAUGAAACCCUCACUGCCAUAGCGACCUGUGCCACCGCAAUCAGGUUCUUAACCCACUGUGCCACAGUGGUAACUCUAAGAGCAGUUAGUCUAGAACAGAAUUUAGGGCUCUUCUUAGACUGCAGUCAUGCUCCUGAAGAGGCUAUUUAGUAACUUGGUGAUGAAUUUGAACUGUGUCUCCAAAAUUUGCCUCCAGAAGAGACAGCUAUUUUCCAGUCUCUGUCUCGCUGUAGGUCAACAGGUUGACAUUCAGAGUUACUGUUAAAAUUGGAACGUGUAAACACCGUGAGUCUGGUUUGGUUUUAUUUAUUUAUUUAUUUUCAGUGAACAAAAGCUUUGUUAUCCUCCUCAGAAAGAGGACAAAUGCAUACCUGGCUCUCACCAUGGUUUUAGUUUGGCAGAACCCAAAGAGAAACCCCUCUGUUUCCCUGUCGUCCUCUCCCCCAAUCCCUGUUCAAUGUGAUAAGUGGUAUUUAUAUUUUAAUCUCAAAAGACCAGUCACAAGACUCCAAAUAUGUCUUAGAAAUUGGGGUGAUGUUAAAAAAACAAAGCACUCAAGCUUUGGUGUUUUGAAUGUGGAGAAAGUCCCUGAGUGAAAAUCCCUUCAUUCCUUUUCUUCCCUUGCUUGAAACUUUAUAGAAGAUCAAAUUUUCCUGGUAUUAAACAUUGACCCACACCUUGGAAAUGGUGCGUGGCCCUUCCUGCUUUCUUAAGAGCUGGUGCAUUUUGAGGGAGAGCGUCUUGGCCUCCCUGAGACUUACCUGGAGCUGAGGGCGCUUCUCUUUAGUAAAUGAGAAACCAGAGGUACCAGGAAGCCAAAGGAGUCAGGGCCACAGGGCUGUUUUUCUUUAAAAUCCUCGGCUUCAUCUGUUCAGGGAUAGGCAGUGACUUGAGACCCUUUGAAGGAGGCCUAAUUUCCAUGUGAGUUCUACUCAGUGGGUGGUGAGACUGUGACAUCCUUCAAUAGAACUGCAAUCACCGUGUGGUGAAAACCACGUCAAAUUUGUUCUGGGUUUUCCUUCUUCCUGAAGUGACAGCACAACACGUCCGCAGUGCUGUGGCUGCCGUUUGUGCAGCCGGUCGUUUCCCUCCUUGACGCUGUAUAACUCCCACCCUCUCGCCUUUCCACCCGAGGGGGCCAACCUCCCCCUGCUGCUGCUGUGCCCGAGAGGGUCUCUGCCUUUGCCCGUGGUCCAUUUCAUGAUUGCUUGGUGGGGAGAGGGGGAGAGGCCUGAUUUUGUAGCAACUUUUUUUUUUUUUUUUUUCUAGGAGGGGAAAAAAUGUAGAGCUGACCACAGAGUGAACACACUGAUUCUUGGGUUCCAGUCGGGGCUGGGUUUCUUGAGGCUGGGUGGCAUAUGCUGUCGCCAAGCUCACGCUACACCUCAUAACCCACAGCCAUUCGCUGUGCUCCCUGGGGUCGCCUUAAUCCCAAGCAGCCAGGGUUGCUCAGGGGAAAAUAAGAAUUCUGGCACAGAAAGGAGUCAUUUAAAUGCUUAUUGCAUUUCAAGCUUCAGUUUUUACUUAGCUAAAAUAUUUACCAUUGCUGGAAAACAAUGUUUAAAAUUUUGUGCUUAUAUGUUAUUUAAUGGUGUGGCCUAUGUAAACCGCAGGAUGCUUACAUUUUGACAGUCUUCUGGAAAUGUUUAACAGCACAUAACUCAGUGAGCAGGGAAUAAAAACCAGGAACAAAUUGUGCUUGAAACUUUGUAACCUCCUCCCAGCUAGGUAUUCAGCAAGUCACGUUGGAAUUCUUCAGGUAGGGGCAGGGAAAUCUCCCCGCAGGGAUUUGCUGAAUCCUGUCUGAGGGCCCCAGUUAUCAACCUUCUAGAGAAAUCCUAAGAGUCAUCAUGUGCCUUUUACCACAGAAGCCAUACUUGUGGGGAUGAGUUUGUAACUUUGCCACUGAGCAAAAUCACAUUUUGAGUUCAAGAUAAUCAAACACUUUCAGGAUUUUUGAUUUUUCAAUUUUUCGUGGAUUUUUCCAAGGAAAAGACACAUACCCUGGUAAGAGCAGUGAAAUGUUCUUUCCACAAAUGUUCUGCCCACAAAAGGCUUGUGCCUUUUAUUUUACCUUGUGGGAAUACCCCCAAGCCUCACCAAAGAGUUCUGUUUUAGAUGUCAGGAGGAUCACAGGGGGCUCACAGUUUCAUGUUAAGGUCUGAAGCAGCAAAAAGCAUUGCCACUUCUUUUUUUCUAAUUUUUAAGUUCUUUUGGCCACACCUGCCGCACAUGGAGGUUUCCAGACAAAGGUCGAAGCUGUGACCCGAGCCACAGCUGUGGCAGCACAGGAUCCUUAACCCACUGCACCAGGCAGGGGAUUCAACCCUCACCUCCCAGCGACCCCAGCCACUGCAGUCGGAUCCUUAAUUCACUUGUGCUACAGCGGAAAUUCUAGCAUUGCCAUGUCUAUCUUUUAAAACAGUGCCAGUCUUCAGCGUGAAAGCCCAGAUUAGGCUCCAUGAGGGUAGGGACCAUGCCUUUGAGGCUAGUUCCUUAGUGCCUAGAACUUUUAGUGGACUCUUGAUUAUUAUUUGGAUGGAUGGAUUUUUGAGAAUAUUUUUUCCAAUGAGCAAUCUCUAUUAUUUUCCACUUUAUAUGCCUUUUCGGUAGCAGUUUUAACUGCUGUAGUUAAAACCAUAAUGGAAAAAAAAUCAGUCUUAUGUAUUGUUCACUGACUUUAGAAGUCAUAAAUAUGUAUUUUAUUAAAGUAACUGCAGGUAUUUAAAUUGAUUUUAAUUAAUUGGUUACUUUGAGUUAGGAACUUUCAUAUAAAGUAUAUAAUAUUUAAAUUUCCUGGUCAUGGUUAAAAAUAAAGAUUUUUUAAAAACCACACCCUUGGAGAUUAGUGUUACAUUAGGGUUGUAAUGUAACAGUUUUAAAAAAGUUUCUUUUAAAAAGCAGUUUCUCUCAUCAAGGAAUGUCAGUUGUUGAGGACUCAUUCUCUCUGUGCCUGACAUUCGUGUCCUCAGGAGCACAGUGGCAAGCUUUCCUUUAGCAGCUGCUGAGGAAAACGAGAACUCCUUUUCAUAAGUUUUUAUUUUUAUUUUUUUUAGCUAAUGCAUUAAUUGACUCCAGAAAGAGUCCAAAUGGAACACUGCUUUCAUCUGCUGGGGUAACCUAAUAAAAUAAUGUUGUUUGUUUUUAGAUUCCCGGCUGUUAAGGGGGUUUUGCUCAAGGCAAAACCACAGUCCCCUUGAAUAACUUUAGAAGGAGAGUUAAGAAGACACACUGAUUGUGCCUGUCAGAGGUUUGCUCCUUCAAGGGCACAGACACGCCCCCUGCACGCCAGUCUGGCCACCAGGGCUCCGGUGCCCACCGUUGCAUUGAAUCUGUUGGACAGGGCUCCUGCCCCUUUGGAGGCUGCUUGAUUCUGCUGUGGAGCACUUCUUAAGAAGAUUUAGAAAUGAACUCAAGGACUCAGAACCAGUUGUGCAAGCACACUGUCUAUGCUCUCCGGCUGCCUAUAGAAUGGGGAGAGGGAAGCGCAGCUUAAACAAAAAAGACUGAUGACGACAUGCUUCCUUACCUCUCAUCAGCCCCUCCUCCAUUCUUGGCUACUUAGGGCAGCUCUGUCUUUUUGGGCUGCUUUCCAAUGAGAGGGGGCAAGUAAUUCUGCUCCCAUUCUGGAGUGCCUGGACCAGUAAGAACUCAUUAAGUAUGAGUAUCAUUGACAUGCCAGGCAUGAUCUCAUUAAAUCCUUCCCAUAUCCAUUAAGGUAGGUACUAUUCUUGUCCCUGUGUCACACAUGAGGAAACCAAGAUUCAGAGAGGUUAUCUUGCUCACACUCUCUCAGCUAGCAAACAAGGGUUUGAAUCCAGAUCUUUGGCAGCCCAAGCCCUCUUCUUUCCCUACAAGGCUUUCUCAACAAAACUCAGUACAGGAAGUUCUUAUGAUAGUCUAUGCCCAGAAUUUCUUAUUGUCCCAUUUCUUAGUAUUGGAUCUAUCAUUCCUAACUUAGAUUGGAGGGGAAGGGUGAACACCAAUUAUUUCCCAUCGUAAGUGCAUUUGCUAUCUCAGGAUUCCACAGCCUGAGGACCAGGUGAAUCCUGACAAGCCUUUUGAGGUUCAUCUUAAACUAUUUUAUAGCCUGUUAAAGUCAGUAAAGAGAGGAUUAAGGUAAACUUGAAGCAUUUGCCCCACGGGUUUAAAAUUGGAAGGCAAUGUGGAAAAAGCAAAGAUAAAUUUACAAACUGUUACAGUGCAACGUGAUAUGACGUGAACUGAAUUGGACCAUCUUAAAAAUCUCUGCUAUAAUUAGAAAAUGUCCUUCUUCAACAAAAGUUGGAAAUAAUGGAAAACCAAGUUAAAAGUAAAUAUCUAUGGGUAUUUGGCCUCAAAGUGUGUCUGGAGGGAAUGGAGACAAUUUACAGAAUGUGGGAUUUGCUAGAAUUACUUCUGGAUAUAAAAUCUCCAUCACCACUAAUGGUUGGAAAGGUCUUACUCUAGUCCCAAUAAGUUAUCUUCUAUCCAUAAAGUUUAAGGCAGAUAACUAUCACUGCAUUUUGCUUCUCCCUCCCCCAUUUUUAUAUAAAUAAAAGCAAAUUAUUGACUGACCAACACCAAAAAUUUACAGCAUUUUCUUCUGGGCAAAAGGGAAAAAAUAUAUGUAUUUCAAAAUGUGAAUUUUUGGAGUUCAUCUGUGGCACAGUGGGUUAAAGAUCUGUCAUUGUCUCUAAAGCAGCUUGGGUUGCUGCUGUGGCACAGGUUCAACUGCUGGCCCAGAAACUUCUGCAUGCCAUGGGUGUGGCCCCCCCAAAAAAGUGAAUUUCUGUUUUGAAGCAGAAUUUACCUAUGUAAGUUCUAAGGAUAGAGAUAUGCUUAUCAAUUUGAGAAUUAAUGGAGAAUUAGCCACUCUAUGUAAGAAGCUGCUUUUAAUGGUGACCUAUUCCAUUUGGGCCAGCUCCAGUGUUAGAAAAGGCUUACACUUUCUUAUAGUAAGAUUAGAAAAAAAGAGUGAGGAUGAUGGAAAUUGAAACAGGCCUUCUUUUUUUCUUCCGAAGAGAGAAGUGAAGUGAUUGCCGAUGUUUGUUGAAUUUUAUUAUAUGGAAAGCAGAGAUUUCUCCACAUUUUCAGUCUCAGCUUAUGUCCUGCCUCACUAAGCUGUGUAUGUAUCACCGCUGAACUGAAGAAGCAGUUCACACUUGACCUGGAUCUUCAAGUUACUUGCGACCACUACUAAUGAAGUAAGUGACUUCUUUCUUUUUUAAAUUGUUUCCCUGUGUGAGACUGAAAAUAGAAAACCCAUCAUUACUGUCUCUGAGUACUGAAAUUGUGUCGUGCUUUUUCUUUUUACUCCAUUUAGAAAGUGUCUUGAGGAGUUCCCAUUAUGGCUCAGCAGUUAUGAACCUAAAUAGUAUCCAUGAGAAUGUGGGUUUGAUCCCUGGCUUCACUCAGUGGCUUAAGGAUCUGGUGUUGUCAUGAGCUGUGAUGUAGGUCAAAGAGGUGGCUCGUAUCUGCCAUUGCUGUGGUGUGGUGUAGGCCCACAGCUGCAGUUCUGAUUCAAUCCCUAGCCUGGAAACUUCCAUAUGCCACAGGUGCGGCC